rnacentral:ncRNA from 2 species
CGUCUACGAUCGGGAUCCGGUUCCGCUGGUGGUCAUCCAGCGGAGGCAACGGGGAAAGUCCGGUGCAAAUCCGGCGCUGUCCCGCAGCUGUGAAGAGCACGGAGUCCGCUCCUGCUCCAGUCAGAACGCCCGCCGGCUCGUCACCUUCAUC